GGGUCGUUAGCUCAGUCGGUAGAGCAGCGGACUUUUAAUCCGACGGUCGCGGGUUCAACCCCGCACGACCCA
rnacentral:tRNA from 1 species